AUUGAACGCUGGCGGCAUUCCUUACACAUGCAAGUCGAACGGCAGCACGGGCUUCGGCCUGGUGGCGAGUGGCGAACGGGUGAGUAAUACAUCGGAACGUGCCCUGUCGUGGGGGAUAACUAGUCGAAAGAUUAGCUAAUACCGCAUACGACCUUAGGGUGAAAGCGGGGGACCGUAAGGCCUCGCCCGAUAGGAGCGGCCGAUGUCUGAUUAGCUAGUUGGUGGGGUAAGAGCCUACCAAGGCGACGAUAAGUAGCUGGUCUGAGAGGACGGACAGACAUACUGGGACUGAGACACGGCCCAGACUCCGACGCGAGGAAGCAGUGGGGAAUUGGAGACAAUGGGGGCAACCCUUAUGCAGGAAGCGUGCGUGUGUGAAGAAGGCCUUCGGGUUGUAAAGUUCUUUUGUCCGAAAAGAAAUCGCCCUGGCUAAUAACCGGGGUCGAUGACGGUACCGGAAGAAUAAGCACCGGCUGACUACGUGCCAGCGGCCGCAGUAAAAC
rnacentral:rRNA from 1 species